rnacentral:rRNA from 1 species
AUCAAUGGCCAUAUCAGCUUGAAUGUACCAGUCUUGUCUAAUCUUGGUAGCUAAGCAGGGUCAGGUCUGGUUAGUACUUGGAUGGGAGACCUGGGAAUACCAGUACUGUAGACU